rnacentral:rRNA from 1 species
CUUGAACGCUAGCGGGAUGCUUUACACAUGCAAGUCGAACGGCAGCGCGGACUUCGGUCUGGCGGCGAGUGGCGAACGGGUGAGUAAUGUAUCGGAACGUGCCCAGUAGCGGGGGAUAACUACGCGAAAGCGUAGCUAAUACCGCAUACGCCCUACGGGGGAAAGCAGGGGAUCGUAAGACCUUGCACUAUUGGAGCGGCCGAUAUCGGAUUAGCUAGUUGGUGAGGUAACGGCUCACCAAGGCGACGAUCCGUAGCUGGUUUGAGAGGACGACCAGCCACACUGGGACUGAGACACGGCCCAGACUCCUACGGGAGGCAGCAGUGGGGAAUUUUGGACAAUGGGGGCAACCCUGAUCCAGCCAUCCCGCGUGUGCGAUGAAGGCCUUCGGGUUGUAAAGCACUUUUGGCAGGAAAGAAACGUCGCGGGCUAAUACCCCGUGGAACUGACGGUACCUGCAGAAUAAGCACCGGCUAACUACGUG